UGGAGAAGCAGCUGACUCUUCCUCAACAUGGGAGUUCCUGCUUUUUUUGGAUAGUGCCUUAUCAAGGAGUCUCCUGGUCAAAGCAGUGGAAGGUUGUGAAAGGACAAGAGAUUGGUAAUUAACAGCAUAUUGGCUUUGGAGCUGCUGUGAGGAGAAUAAUGGAUGGCAGUUAAUGGAAAACACUGCAGUUACAAUUCAGCUUAGAAGUCCUGAGCCAGGGUCACCUUAAACUUGACGGACUUUUACAGCCUGAACAGCAGGAGGACCAUGUGCAGAGAAAGAUGUCUCUGGGGAUGAAGUUUUCAGUGACUUUGUAAAUCAGCGCUGUUUGAAAUGAAAGCUUCAAGAGGACAUGCAGGAAAACUUGGCCACCCCCUCAACUCAACACAGAUUAUUUUUGGAGACAGAAAAAAACUUCCCUGGCUAUUUUUCUUAUGGCCUGUUCCAACACAAAGAUGUCUUCAAGAACUACUAAUGCAGACACUUAGGCUCAGUUGAGGAGGCACAAAACCACAGCUGCAGGAAGUUCAAGUGAAACCUCAGUUUGCUCCUAGAAGUUUGUGAUUUUCAUAAUCUCAUCUGUGGCCACAGGACCUGAAUUCUGCUCAUGUCGUGUUUCUGUUGACUCCACUGAAAACAGACUGGAGUCCAAGAAGCCAUAAUUAAGGAGGAAGGAAGUGCAAAUGACUCCACAGGAUGACUCUGAAUUUAGGACAUUGUUGUGGAAUAUUUCUGUACAGUUUUAAUGGUAAAUGUUGUCCUGCAUGAAGCAAACUACUAAUAACUCAGUCCAAUGAAUGUAAUUAGUUCUCUUUUUACCUAGUAUGUGUGUGUGUGUGCUGGUAACAAACACUGUUACUUGUUAUUACAGUAAUACUUCUAAUAUUAAUCAUUAUUAUCAGCUCAAACAGUACUUCAUCCCCAAAAGGUGUGUGAAAGUGUGCAUCAAUCUUAAGCCCAAAAGCAUUAUUGCAAAGAUUCUGAAUGUUGUCCCUCUUUCCUAGAAAGAUAAAACUAAAAAUAAAUUAUUUCAAUAGGAUAA